rnacentral:rRNA from 1 species
UACGUAGGGGGCAAGCGUUGUCCGGAUUUAUUGGGCGUAAAGAGCGUGUAGGCGGCCAGGUAGGUCAGCUGUGAAAACUCGAGGCUCAACCUCGAGACGUCGGUUGAAACCACCUGGCUAGAGUCCGGAAGAGGAGAGUGGAAUUCCUGGUGUAGCGGUGAAAUGCGCAGAUAUCAGGAAGAACACCCGUGGCGAAGGCGGCUCUCUGGGACGGUACUGACGCUGAGACGCGAAAGCUAGGGUAGCAAACGGG